rnacentral:rRNA from 1 species
UACGAAGGGGGCUAGCGUUGUUCGGAAUUACUGGGCGUAAAGCGCGCGCAGGCGGUCCUUCAAGUCAGAGGUGAAAGCCCAGAGCUCAACUCUGGAACGGCCUUUGAGACUAGAGGACUUGGGUACGGGAGAGGGUGAGUGGAAUUCCGAGUGUAGAGGUGAAAUUCGUAGAUAUUCGGAAGAACACCGAGUGGCGAAGGCGGCUCACUGGCCCGUUACCGACGCUCAGGCGCGACAGCGUGGGGAGCAAACAGGG